GAAUAUGAAGCGAUUUAUUGCAAUUAGUUUCGACCUAAUUUUAGAUGACCUCAUCCUUAUUCU
rnacentral:tRNA from 1 species